AUUUUAUAUUUAUUUAUUUAUUUUUAACAUUUCACCAAUAAAAAAUAAUAAUAAGCUUCAACAAAAAUGUCUCCUCAUAGGUAUCUUCUGCAUGGACAGGAAGAAUCAGUCAAAGCCAGAUUUUUCCAGUGGUUUCUUUGUAGACUACUGCAAAAACCAAGGUGUUUUGGAGGAAUGACCCACUGCAAUUUCAUGGCACUUCUAUGACUGUUAAGUCCCAAGGCAACAGUGGUUUUUUGUUAUUGUUGUUUGGUUGUUGGUGUUUAGUUUUUUGUUUUGUUUUGUUUUGUUUUUGGGGAGGCAAAAAAAAGAGGUGGUCAGAGAUCUGAAAAUAAAUGCACAAAAGUCCCUUUAGAAUGAAUGUUAAACGAAACGUCAGCCUAGGAGACAAU
rnacentral:lncRNA from 1 species